GGCAGUUAGUGCUAGAGCCCUCAGCGGUCCUCCAGUGAGAAAGCCCUUUUGAGGGACAAGCUGAUACUACCAGGUAGCAAUUUAGUGUAGGCUAAGAAACAGGUGGGGGAAAUGUAUUCUCUUUUAUGGUUAGUGUGAAAAUAUCUGUGUCAGACUGGUCAGAAUGCAGUGGGGGAUGGAGAGGAGUGUGGAAAAUAAUAAGGGAGCAAUGGGGGUUUUAUACAGCAGAUACUGUUGGCCAGGUCUUUGGGAGACAGCAAUGAAAAAGGACUUUUCAUUUCACUCUUUUGUGGCUCCAGCAUUGCUGCACCUUUGGUGUUUCUCAUUCUUCACAGCUUUCCUGGGAGAGGGGAGAGUUCAGCAGUGGCCAUGGUAAGAGCAGAGGGUUAAUCUGGAAGUCGGUCAAUUAUGUUUUUUCUUGGUAGGCUCGGGUGGCCUGCCAGAGGGACAUAGGUGCUCUGGGCCACUCCACAGCAGGCAUGUUCUGUUUCAGGUGUGGAAACUUGGAUGUGUGGCCCUGGCAUAACUCAGCUCUCCACUUCCGUAGCUGCAGUGUGAUCCUGGGCGAAUCCGUGCACCUCUCUGAGCUUCAGUUUUCUUACCUGCAAAUACAGCGCUCUGACCGUGAUGGCUCCCCAGGUUCUUGCCUGCUUUGCAGUGGCGAGAUUUCAGCCCCCUCCAGAAGACCCCCCAGGUCACCUGUGGACCCGCGCCAUUGGAGUUCCCAUUCCCCUUCUCCAGGGCAGGUGUGAGACGGGAGUCUAGUUUCCAGAUGGGCUGAUACCUCCUCGAAGCCGUCAGGCAGUGGGGUUUCUGGUACUGUGUCCGCAGUAAACUUGAUGGCUUUAAAGGCAUAGUCUGUCCCCGAGUUACCCUGCGGUGCUGAAGGCUGGAGCGAGGCAAACCCAGGUGGCAGGUAGCCGGCUUGGCCUGGGGGGCGGGCGAGGUAAGGAGAGAGGUGACAGGCUGAGACUGAGCGGAAACACGGAGGCAGUCAGGGGCGACACGGGAGGAUCGCAGAGGCGCGGGGAGGGGGUGUAGAUAUUUAUAGUAAGAGGGACGGAGAAACGGCAGCAAAUAGAUCCGGGGGCUGCAGGGGGCCUCACCGCCCACAGAGAGGGGGGCGUACCCACCGGCUCGGUUCCGGUGGCGCCCUCUGGCUCCGCUCCCCUCCCUCCUUCAGAGGGGGCUGGCUCUGCUCUCUGCAAAGCCAGGCUUAGGGGAGCACGGCGAGCGGUAGCUAGCAGCCGGUGCUGCGCCCCGGGCCGCUGCCGAUCCGGAGAGCCCUGCCGAUCUGCCCCCAUGAGUGCGUCCCCUAGCAGACCCAGCGCAAGCUCCAAGUUCCAGAGAGCACGGUAAAGCUAUUAACAUGGACUAUAGCCUGGCUGUGGUGCCCCACCUGAGAACUGGUGUCCCCAGGAAGCUACUAGGACUGACUGUCUGCCUCCUUCAUGAGUUUCCAGAGGAGACUAAGCUCGCUUUUCUUCCAUUACUUCUGGACAGGCGCUUGGACAAGUGGUUAGGGCAAGGCUGUGGGCUUGAGGCUGCUUCUGCCCCUCUUCAACAUCCCAGCCAAAGUCUGAACUGGGGACCCUGGCCUUCUGUCUUCACACAGGACUUUCCUCCCACGUGACCACCCUCAUCAAUCUCAUGCCUAGUGCCCUUGCUUGUGGAAAUUCAAGAUUUGAAAGACAGCAAACAUCAUGGGAUUCACCCCUAGUAAGACUAGGAAAAGGUUCUUCAUUUUCUAAUGUCCUCCUAGGGAGGAGGUGGGCCGAUUAGGAAUGCUUGGCUUGAAGCUAGAGAUGCAUGAAGUCCCAUCCCAGAAGAAACUGAGUUAUCGUAUGGAGCAGAUGGAGGCAUGAGAAGGUGUGGCCAUUAAUUAGAGUGAAGCUGUUGGAGAGCAAACAACUUGUUUGCAUCCAUCAGCCAGCUUCAAGUCUGGAGACAUGCCGGUCCUCAGAAGAGUUUGUUAGCAGGGCGCACAGGCUCCAGGGCCACCUAGGGACAAGCUGGCGAUAGUGUGCUCCUGGGCGGUGUAUCCUGGUGGGUCUGCAGCAGUGGUGAGUGGUGACUGCGUCCCAAGCCCAGAAUUAAAGAGGGGCAGGGUGCAAGGAUUGUGCAUAUCACAUGUACUUAGGAAAUCCCUCCUUUUAUCUCAGGAUUUUUUUUAAGACUUAUAAAAAAAUAAAAUGUUUUCAUGACAGUAGCAGUUGUAAAACUGCCCCCCCCCCCACACCACUCUGGGCGAGGACAAAGAAACUUGCAUGAGAAGCUGAGCUGUCUCCUCUGCCAGCACCUCCGUGGGCAUGCACCUUUGGGAGAUGCAAACAGUGUGCUAUAGAUGAGGAGCCUGCAGCCUGUGGCGUUUUCAAGAGGGGCAUAUCUCAGCUGGGCUUCUCUCUUUAAGCUCAGAAAACUAACAUUAGAAACAGUUUGCAAAUGCUGCCUUUGUAUCCCCCACUCUAAGGUCCCAGUUUGCCCCUAACUGAUCUUGAGGCUCGCUGUGGAACAGGUACCCUCAGAGAGAGACGUCCAUACUCCUCCAGUGUGAACUGCUUUCUCUCUCCCUCCCUCCCUCCCUUCCUCCCUCCAUCCCUCCCUUCCUCUCAUUAAACAUCAUUUAACAGGUUAGAGGGCAAAAUACAGACGUGUUUCUGGUGUGAGCAAAUCAGCCUUGUGCUCUGGGUGAAGUUAACAAACAUUCCUUCUAUUCAGUGGUGCCCCCGCCUCUGCUCCUUACUUGAAGAUCCUGUCUCUUGCUCACAGCUGGUGUCCCUAGCCAUGCCACCUUACCUUCGCAGCUUCUCACAGCUCGAACUGGCUGCCUUUGACUGUGGACAGUGAGGUUGCAGAUGGGGUCACCAGUGUUUGUUUGAGACCCUCUCCCUUUGGCUCCUUUACUUUGUAACUUGCCCAGAAGAUCUUGUCCGCAACAUGCAAUUUGGGCCAAGAGUUUUGCUGGGCAUUGUGGGUAUUCAGGAGACCCAGGGUAUCCAAAGGGUAUGUGGAAAUUCUGUUGUUUCUUUUUUCCUGUCCACCCUCAAAGGUUGUUUGGCUUUGGAAAUUUGGGGCUGGGCUUUUGUGCUAGUGUUGAGAAGAAACCAUUCUGAGCAACUUAUCAGUUACCUAGGGAGAAUGGGGUGCUGCUGUGGGGCCCCACUUUGGCACUGUCACCAAAUGUGAGUGCCUUGUUUCAUCUUUUUAAAGAUCAUAGCUAUUUUUAAAGAUGAUAGGCCUUGGAUGAAAUCACAUUCUAGACAUUGUCCCUGCCACCACCUUCUAGCCUUUACUUUUGGACCAUACCCGUCAUUCGAUGUCUCUGUGGAUCAGCUCACUCUUGACUCCCGUCAGUGCUGUCCCAUCACAUACAUCUGGAAUCUUCCACUGUAACUGCAAUUGUCAUCCCAGGGGUGCAGCUAUACUCCAGAGGGGUUUCCACUGCUCUGUCCCCCACCUCCAGCUAUUGCUCCGCACAGGUGUCACGCAGUUGUUGCCUGCUUGUGGCUUUGAGUUAUGUACAAUUCUGCUGUGGAUUGUCACCCAUUCCGCUUGCCCAGCUGAUGGAGUGCUUUCUCUUGGGGUGCUUUCUGCAGUUUAUGCUGUUUUUAUUUUCAUUGUUCUUCAGCUUAAUUAGGAUCUUUUCUUCCUUCCAUUUCCCCUCUCUACACCUGUGGAAUCAUGUUUCAUUUUUGCCUAGGUAUGAUCCUUCUUCAGAUUGUACUGAAGUUAUCCUUGCCUUGAUUUGAUCCAGAACCCUAAUGUGCACACAGCAGAAACACUGCAUGUACCUUUUAGGUGUCCAGCAUCUGUAUCCCCUUUAUUUUGUGGUACACAAGACCCUGGCUUCUAAUGGAUACCCCAGUAUCUACUCUGCUUUGUACCUGUUGGGUAUGCAUUGCACAACUUCAUAACGAAUGAACAUUUCCAAUAAGAGGCAGGUGGAGACAGUGUUACAACAGAUAGUCUGGGGUCUUGAGUAGGCAUGUGCUGUUCUGGGGGUCACCUCAUUUGUUGUGUGUGAAGAUAGAGGUCUUUAGCUAGGGGACCCCUUGUCAGUGGACUUGUGUACAUAUGUGUAAGGUAGCAAUAAAAAUAGGAAUUUAAGUUCUUUUCUAGAGUGAGUUGAUGUUGAUGAAUCUGUGAGUUAGUGAUCUGCUAACCACCUUUUCCAUUAUGCUUUCCUCAGACCCACAGUGAGGUUCUCUUCAGAGAGAAAGUUACCAGUGAUUUACAGAGCUGGGGAAGGACGGCUCCUUGUUCAUUGCCACCACAGAAGAGGAGCCUGUUCUAGCAGAGUGAAGAAGUUAAACUGCAUUGGUUCCAUCAGCCAUACUAGCAGACUUGAAGCAGCCUGAACCUUUGGUUUCAGGCUAGGUCAAAUGUUGGACCCUUUCUGAGAUUCUAACAGACAUGAAGCAGGAAGCUUCUCUUCUCUGUCAGCACCUGCACAGCUUUUGGUGCAGCUCUGGAGCCCCUGGCUAAAGAGAAUUUCACUUUCUGAGCCAGAAUAAGGUUAGGUGGAAUUGGCUCUUGGCUCAGGGGUCAGAAUUAGAAAGUGCAAUUUGAACAUUUGUUUUUUUAAACUGCACAAAACUAAAAAUGAUUUAUCCAAAACACAAGACCAGUGAGGUACUACCUGCCUUCCCAGCCCACUAACACUCACCCCUGCACCCCACCAAAGUUGCUGAGGUCCAUGAGUAACACAGUUGACUAGAUGAGGGGGUAUGAAAAGGGCAGUCCCUAUGGCUCAUCUACCCUUUCAUCCAACUGAUCUCUGAAAUUCCAUCUUUCUAAACAUUUUCAGUGUGUGGGACUUGGGGAAGAGUAGGAGACAGAAAUGGGAGAGGGGAGGAAGGCAAUUCCUAGAAAAGUUCAUGAGACCAGGUUGCCUGGAGACAGACUGCCCCGGAAAGCAGGGGUGGCACAGGCCACAUGGCAGCGUGGGAGGACCAGUCCUGAGAAAGAGGAAAAGAGAAAAGACACAAAAUGAUGAUGGGCAGGAGGGCCGGACGCUGAGAGAGGAAGCAGGUGAAGUGGGAGGAGAGACAGGAAACAGAUGGAGUAAGAGGAAGACAGACAGUAAGUGCAAGAAAAGGCAAAGCGGGGGAAAGAGCAGAAGACAAAUGAAAGUGGCACCUUGCUUUCCUGAUUUUUCUCCCUCCCUUUCCCCCCUGACAGAGGGAUAAAGUAAGUGACCAGGGGGACACGUGGUUUUUGUGCUAUUGGAACCUCCUCAUUGAAGCUGUCAACCCUUCGUGGCAGCUCAUUCUAUUUUUACAUUUUGCAGAAUUAAAAUUAAACAAGUGACCUGUGAGGGCGUUUUCAUGAAGAUUUUAUCCUGCACACCCACACAGCUAGUGCUGAGGUGGCUGAAUAUUUAGUAUAAUAUUCUAUUUAAUCAGAUAGAAAGGCAUCCUCCAGAGAAGCUGGGCUUUGCUAGCCUGUGAAGAGCUGCUUUGACGAGGGUGAGAGAAGACAGAAAGGAACCUUGUUCUCUGCCUCCUUUGGGCUUGGUAGCAGGAAGAAUUCCAGUUAACUGAAUUCUGGAGGACCUUAGCAUUCUUUCUCCCACACUUUUAUUUAUUUCUUUUUCUUUUUUGUAUUGGGUUUGAUUCCAGCCUUUUUGGUUCAGUUCUCCUUGGAGAUCUCAUUGAUGA